GACGAACGCUGGCGGCAUGCCUAACACAUGCAAGUCGAACGGGAAGGCCCUGCCUUUUUGGGGUGCUCGGCUGGCCGCCGGGGAAGUAACCCGUGGGUAAGCUGCACCUCCCCUUGGGAUAACUUCAGGACACUGAGGCUAAUCCCACCUAGGAGUUACCGCCGCAUGGUGGGGGCUGGAUAGUUUCGGCGGUUGGGGAUGUACUGGCGGCUGAUCAGCUUGUUCGUUGGGUAGUGGCUUAGCAUGGCCUUGACCGGUAGCCGGGCUGGGAGGGUGAGAGGCCACACUGGGACUGGGCUGCGGCACAGACUAGUACGGGAGGCAGGAGUGGGGAAUAUUGCAUAAUGGGCGGGAGCAUGAUGCAGCAACGCAGCGUGCGGGAUGACGGCCUGCGGGUUGUAAACCGCUGCCGCCUGUGACGAAGCGUGAGUGACGGUAAUGGGUAAAGAAGCACCGGCUAACUACGUG
rnacentral:rRNA from 1 species